CCACUUCCCAGAUGGCGCGCCCACGACACCCCCCACGUUCGGCCCAGAUGCAACGACCGCUCCGUUCCGGCCCAAGGCCCACAGGGAGGUAAGAAAGGGAUACGGGGCUGAAAACGCCCCUACGGCCCAUUACGGUCCAGAGGUUCGAAAGCUGGCCCGACACGGGUUCGACAGCUGCCUCAGGACAUCCCCCGAGCAAGGGGUGAGAAGGGACGGGUCCGCUAGCGGCCAACACCCAGGCGAGCGAAAGCCAAAGGGCGUCCCGACCUCACGUUCGAGUCCCGCCCGGUAUAAAGUUCAUGGUUUUUCCACGGGGAAAGGCAACGAGCCCCCAGAUCCGGUCGAACGGAUCCGGGAACUAUAUGAACUGGCCGGCGGGAAAUUGGAGUGCGCCACCAGCUUGGCCCGAGCCGGACCCCCCCGAACGGGGACCGGGACUCCACUCGAACCUACCCGUUUGCAGCUCAAACGAGCACCACGGUUCGUCCAACGUGGAUAACGUGGCCCGGCUCAACCCCUCCGUCCUAGAGAAUGGACG
rnacentral:lncRNA from 1 species